rnacentral:snRNA from 1 species
UAUUUUGUAAUACAUAAUCACGUAAAAUUGGAGCGGAUACAAAAAAGAUUAGCAUGACCCCGGCGCAAGGAUGAAAGAUGGGUUGUAUAUGGUUAAAGCAAAAUU